AUUUUGGUAUUCACUAACGAUUUUAGACUCAGACUCAGCUGAGAAUACUUUAUGUCGAUGAUGCAAGCGGUAUUUUUCCAUGAUUACGUCAGCAGGUGCUCGCACGCGCCGUUACAUCACUGACAGACGGAUAAUGGACUCGACAGGUAUAUUGUUUACAUGUUUUUUAUUAUAAAUUAUUGAUACUGAUAUCAUGCAUUUCGUUAAAAAAGUAAUUUACAUGCUGAUCAUAUACUGAAUAAUUUCUCAUUGAGAACUCUUUUUUACGUAGAUACCUUAGCAAUGGACUAGAAAGUUUAGAUAUUAUAACGUUGUUAUUCUUUUAGGGUUUCUUAACAAAAAAAGUCCCCCAUGGACAGAGGCAGCAGAGUGAAUUUACAGCUCCACGUUCUUCGGAACAGUGCCGGAAGAAAUUUCAAAAUGUAAAAGGACGUUCCAUCAACAAAGUCAGUGGGCUGCGGCAUCCACCAACAGGAGGGGGCCCAUCGGCUGUAUUGUCCGUGGCAGAGUCGUGUGUGGCAGACCAUCUUGCCACACACGAAGUUGUCACGGGCAUUGGCGGAGGAUUUGAUUCAGAUGACCUUGAACAAAUUUUUCGGGCCUCGAAACCGGCCUCAAUGAUCAUGGCAGAUGAGCCAACGUCUGAGGCCACUAUCCCAGAAACAUCAGGAGCAAAAAGAAAAAUUGUCACCACGGAGCAGUCUACAAUAAAUGAAUUAACUGCAGAAAACCUAUCGCUUGACAAUGUCAGGAUUAGGGAGGAGACCAAAAAAAUCAAGCUCCAGAUGGACCUAUUAUUAGAACAAAAAAAAUGCACUUAUUUCAGUGAAGGAAAUGGCUGAUGCUGCCAAAAGUUAUUAUUUACAAAGGUCUUCCAUUGAGUUUAAUUCAGGAAAUCCUUUUGUAGAUUCCUUUACUUUUAAUAAAUAAUUCUGCUCAACCAAUGCAUUGGAUAUUUGAAAGUAACAAGCACACUGUUAGAUUGUCUUUGAAACAUUUUAGGCUUGUCCCUGUAUUUUUCAUUGUAUAUUUGAAGGUGAUGUACUUCUUUAAGCUAACUUCUUCAAACUUACUUUUGAGAUCCUACAUCAAUCUUCAAAUAUUUAAAGCUUUGUAAGUCUUGAAUUGCAUGUAUGAUUGGCUUAGGUGACUUUAUUUUUGAUCAAGUCAAAAUGUACUUGUUGUAUUAAGCAAUGCCCUGAAAUUCAUGUGCUAUUAAAGUUUUUAAACCAUAUAUGUUAUGCCACUAAGUUUGAUGAUGACAUUUCAUAUAUAUGUUACACAUCAUUGUUCAUCCAUGUCCAAUGAAAUAUUCUUUGUAAAGUUUGCUGAAGUAAUUAUUUAUUAAGGACAUAAGGUAUGUAGUUUGCUAUAUAGUUUAUACAUAUCAAAUUUAUAAAAUGUAUGGUGCCAUAAAGUCAUCAGACAAUUAAGUUAAGGGUAUUGCUUGUUACUUUUCAAAUAUCCAAUUGUUACACAGUUCUCAUUCAUUUAUAAUUCACAAGGUUCAUCUGGAGUUUGAGAAAGUAUCCUCUUUAUGAUUGACACUGUUAAUUUAUAUUAAUGAUUAUUUUCAUAAUGAUCAUUUUAUAGAUGCAAAUGUAUAUACUUUCUAUUGAUAGAUUUCCCUGUGUUUUGACUGCAUGACUUCAUAUACAUAUAUACAACAAUGACUCUAUGUAUUUUUUUUAGUUGAUAUAUAUCAAAUUCAACUCAUAUUAUUCAUAUGUUAUGAACAUUACAUAUCAGUUAUAUGAAAAAAACAGCUGUCUCUGUUUAAUUGGAACUGAUUUUGAUAGUUUGUCAUUUUAUUCAAAGUCUGAAAUGUUAACGGAAUUUACAAACACAUUUCAUCUGAAUUUAUGGUGAUUUUAUCCAAUAUUUGGACGGUCAAUAAGUGAUUUUGUUCUUUUUGUCAACAAUGGCAUGGUGAAUUAAUAAGAAUUAAGGUAAUGACUUAUGUUCUUGUCGAAAUUUACUUAACAUUGAACAAUAGAUAGUAUCGUUUAUAA